rnacentral:lncRNA from 1 species
UAGGUUUUUAACCUCAAAUGGGUCGUACCUGGUUAAAUAAAGGUUAAAUAAAAAUAAACUAAACCCCACCUAGACUUUGCAUCCAUUUGGCUCUUCUCCUUUGUAAUGGCUGCUGGCUUCUUGUUCUGGACUUUGAGUGAGCUUCAGGAGUAUCAUAUUUCUUCUUCCCUUUGUUGUCCUCCAUUAUGUCUGGGUUGGAGUUCUCUGUGGUGGUGGAGGAGCUGUCAUCGUUGUCCUCCUCAGUUCCUCUCCUCCCUGAGCUCUUCCCUUGUUCCUCUUCUCCCGCUCUUCCUUCUUCUUUGGGGCCUUGGCUUUGGUCUGUCCAGGUCUUUAUCCAUGGUCUCCACCAGGCUCACAUAGUCCGAGUCCUCCGAGCUGUGCCGGCGUGGCCCAUCUAGGGGAUUUCUUCCUGGGGCUGAAGGACCAGUCUGUGAAGGGUGCUGCUGGUUCUCUGGAGCUGGCUGUGGCUGCUUGGGGCUCCGGGCCUUGCGGCUGGCCUGUGGCCAGAGGAGGGGUAUGUCUGAGACUUUGGAGCCUGGCUGGGAGGGAGGGAUCGGGGGUGUGUGGGCCUCGGUUGUGGCCUCCUCUGGGUGUUCCUGCUAGCAGCCCUGGAGGCAGAGCCUGGCAUCCCUCGCAGGGAGUUGUGGUUGGCUUCUCCACCGUACCCAUUCAUACUGGGAGACAAAAUACUGAGAAGUUAGUAAUUAUAGAAUAAAAUAUUUACACUACAACAUCUCCGAUCUACAUCAAACCAUUUCAGAUACUAACGUCAACAUAUGUCAGACAAAGUUUACACAAAAACGUACAUUCAGAAAAAAACUCACUGUGCAUCGCUUUGAAGUCGUACUAAUUCCCUGAGGUCAAAGGGCCUCCCUGUCUCCAUGGAGGUGCUGGAUGUUUCGAAACACAUGCGUCUCUUGAACGGCUCCCAGAUCCCAGGGCCUCCAGAUAGGCCGCUACAAUCACCAGCAAAAACAUAGAGCUGGGCACAACAGAUAGAGGCAACUUUAGUAAUCCUUACAGCCUUAGAUACAGGGGAAAUAUCUGUCCAAGAA